UGUGGAGCGUUUCCCUGUGUCUGUGUGUGUGUGUAUAUAUAUAUGUAUACUUACUGUCUAUUUAAUCUGUAAUGAUUUAAUUCAGAACGAACCUGUCGCCAUUGUUGUUGGUUGUGUUGUUGUUGAGGUGGGGGUAGAGGGGGUGAUCCCCGGCGCUGGUCUUUUCCCGGUACCCGGAAAGCCUUCGCCAGUGGAGAAGCGCUACGUUCACGGAAAAUGAAGUAGAAGUGCUGCAUUUGAUAGUCCAUUUUGCAGAGUUUGGAUUGAAAAGAAGAGCUGAAAAAGAGUGGAUGCAUCAGUGAAAGAAUAAAUGGAGUUGGAUGAUAAGCAGAAGAGGACAGGGAUUUGGUGAAGAAACAAAAUGGGAGAGAGAACAGAACCCGGGGAACCUCCAAGUUGAUGGUGGCAGAAAAUUCAGAUAAACGAAAAAAGUGAGCCAAUGCAAUUAGCUUUUCGCCUGUAGAACUGUAUCAGAAUGGAGGAAUAAUGAUUUGGAGGGUUUACAGAAAUUUGACAGCUGGCUUUUGACAGAUAUUUUUGGCAGUGGACAAGAAGGAAAUAACUCUUGGAAAUGAAGGGAA